GUACCUUUGUGUACCUUAUGAGGUGAAUGACGUGUUAGUGCUACACUGAACGUACAUCAAUAUUUUUCGAUUCUAUUUUACUUUUCUCUCUUCUCCCGCAGAACAAGUACAAAGAGAGUGGGAAAAGGGGUGUUUCAAGUUGCGUUUAUUCUCAGCUACCAGAAACCAGAGAGAUCCAGUUUGCCAAAGCAAUGUCAGAACUCCAGAGCGAGAUUAAGUACAAGGAGGCAGGGAAGAAGGAGGUGUCCAGCACUCUGUACUCCCAGCUACCUGAGACCAUGGAGACCCAACAUGCCAAGGAGGUGUCUGAGAUCCAGAGCAAGACGAAGUACAAAGAAGAUGGGAAAAAGGAGACAACUAGCAGCCUUUACUCAUUACUUCCUGAGACGACAGAGACUCUGUUUGCCAGAGAGCUGUCUAAGAUCCAAAGCGAGAUCAAGUACAGAGAAGGUGGAAAGAAGGAGAUUUCCAACAGUUUAUAUUCUCAGCUCCCAGAAUCUUCAGAAACUGAGUUUGCCAAACAGCUGUGUGAAAUUCUGAGUGAGAACAAGUACAAGGAGACGGGGAAGAAACAAGCUUCCAGUGCUCUCUACUCCCACCUACCAGAGACCAAGGAGACCCAACAUGCCAGGGCAAUGUCCCAGAUCCAGAGUGAGGUGUGCCAC
ensembl:lncRNA